GAUGAAGAACGCAGCGAAAUGCGAUAAGUAGUGUGAAUUGCAGAAUUCAGUGAAUCAUCGAAUCUUUGAACGCACAUUGCGCCCUUUGGUAUUCCUUAGGGCAUGCCUGUUCGAGCGUCAUUUAAACCCUCAAGCUCAGCUUGGUGUUGGGUGACUGUCCGCUUCACCGCGGACUCGCCUCAAAAUUAUUGGCGGCCGGUACAUUGGCUCUCGAGCGCAGCAGAAACGCGUAACUCGAGGUCCUCGUGCUGGCUCCCAGAAGCUAUCUUCACAAUUUUGACCUCGGAUCAGGUAGGGAUACCCGCUGAACUUAAGCAUAUCAAUAAGCGGAGGA
rnacentral:misc_RNA from 1 species